rnacentral:misc_RNA from 1 species
GCAAACUUGGUCAUUUAGAGGAAGUAAAAGUCGUAACAAGGUCUCCGUUGGUGAACCAGCGGAGGGAUCAUUACAGAGUUGAAAAACUCCCUAAACCCACUGUUUACGUACCUGAUUUUGUUGCUUCGGCAGGCGGCCCCAGGGCGGGGUCGUAGCCUAAUGGCGCCUGCCGGAGAAACACCAAAAACUCUUUUACAUUUCUGAUCUUCUGAGUCUUUAAAACAAAAUAAAUCAAAACUUUCAACAACGGAUCUCUUGGUUCUGGCAUCGAUGAAGAACGCAGC